rnacentral:tRNA from 1 species
UGCCGAGGUGGCUCAGACCGGUACGGCGCGAGCCUGGAAAGCUCGUGGGGCAUCCGCUCCGCAGGAGUUCAAAUCUCCUCCUCGGCGU